rnacentral:rRNA from 1 species
AACGAACGCUGGCGGCAGGCUUAACACAUGCAAGUCGAGCGCCCCGCAAGGGGAGCGGCAGACGGGUGAGUAACGCGUGGGAAUCUACCCAUCUCUACGGAAUAACGCAUGGAAACGUGUGCUAAUACCGUAUACGUCCUUCGGGAGAAAGAUUUAUCGGAGAUGGAUGAGCCCGCGUUGGAUUAGCUAGUUGGUGGGGUAAAGGCCUACCAAGGCGACGAUCCAUAGCUGGUCUGAGAGGAUGAUCAGCCACACUGGGACUGAGACACGGCCCAGACUCCUACGGGAGGCGGCAGGGGGGAAUAUUGGACAAUGGGGGCAAGCCUGAUCCAGCCAUGCCGCGUGAGUGAUGAAGGCCCUAGGGUUGUAAAGCUCUUUCACCGGUGAAGAUAAUGACGGUAACCGGAGAAGAAGCCCCGGCUAACUUCGUGCCAGCAGCCGCCGUAACAC